rnacentral:rRNA from 1 species
UUUGAAAUCUGGCUCUCGGGCCCGAGUUGUAAUUUGUAGAGGAUGCUUUUGGUGAGGUGCCUUCCGAGUUCCCUGGAACGGGACGCCAUAGAGGGUGAGAGCCCCGUCUGGUUGGACACCGAUCCUCUGUAAAGCUCCUUCGACGAGUCGAGUAGUUUGGGAAUGCUGCUCUAAAUGGGAGGUAUAUGUCUUCUAAAGCUAAAUACCGGCCAGAGACCGAUAGCGCACAAGUAGAGUGAUCGAAAGAUGAAAAGAACUUUGAAAAGAGAGUUAAACAGUACGUGAAAUUGUUGAAAGGGAAGCGCUUGUGACCAGACUUGGGCUUGGUUGAUCAUCCGGGGUUCUCCCCGGUGCACUCUUCCGGCCCAGGCCAGCAUCAGUUCGCCCUGGGGGACAAAGGCUUCGGGAAUGUGGCUCUCUCCGGGGAGUGUUAUAGCCCGUUGCGUAAUACCCUGUGGCGGACUGAGGUUCGCGCAUUCGCAAGGAU